rnacentral:rRNA from 1 species
GCUGGCGGCAGGCUUAACACAUGCAAGUCGAGCGGUAGCAGAUCUAGCUUGCUAGAUGCUGACGAGCGGCGGACGGGUGGGUAACGCGUAGGAACCUGCCCAGUAGUGGGGGAUAGCCCGGGGAAACUCGGAUUAAUACCGCAUACGCUCUACGGAGGAAAGAGGGGGCUUCGGCUCUCGCUAUUGGAUGGGCCUGCGUGAGAUUAGCUAGUUGGUGAGGUAAUGGCUCACCAAGGCGACGAUCUCUAGCUGGUCUGAGAGGAUGAUCAGCCACACUGGGACUGAGACACGGCCCAGACUCCUACGGGAGGCAGCAGUGGGGAAUAUUGCACAAUGGGCGCAAGCCUGAUGCAGCCAUGCCGCGUGUGUGAAGAAGGCUUUCGGGUUGUAAAGCACUUUCAGUGGGGAGGAAGGCCUCGUAGUUAAUAGCUGCGAGGAUUGACGUUACCCACAGAAGAAGCACCGGCUAACUCCGUG